rnacentral:rRNA from 1 species
GAAUUCGCCCUUAGAGUUUGAUCCUGGCUCAGGAUGAACGCUAGCGGCAGGCCUGACACAUGCAAGUCGAGGGGUAACAGGGAGCUUGCUCCGCUGACGACCGGCGCACGGGUGCGUAACGCGUAUACAAUCUACCUUUUGCUGUGGGAUAGCCUUUGGAAACGAAGAUUAAUACCGCAUAGUAUGCAGACUUCUCAUGAAGAUUGCAUUAAAGGUUACGGCAAAAGAUGAGUAUGCGUCCUAUUAGCUAGUUGGUGUGGUAACGGCACACCAAGGCCACGAUAGGUAGGGGCCCUGAGAGGGGGAUCCCCCACACUGGUACUGAGACACGGACCAGACUCCUACGGGAGGCAGCAGUGAGGAAUAUUGGACAAUGGAGGCAACUCUGAUCCAGCCAUGCCGCGUGCAGGAAGACUGCCCUAUGGGUUGUAAACUGCUUUUAUACGGGAAGAAACACUGCUACGUGUAGCAGCUUGACGGUACCGUAAGAAUAAGGAUCGGCUAACUCCGUGCCAGCAGCCGCGGUAAUAAGGGCG